AUGGCGACCGCCGGCAACGCUCCCCGCUCCCGCAAGCGCGUCGAGGCCACCGUCCUCAAGCGCGCGCGCGACGGAAGCGCCUUCACCCGCUACGAGGCGUGCAACAAGGACAUAGCCAUCGUCCUUAUCGACCUCCACAGCUGCAGCCUCGACUCCAAGAUACGCCUCAGCCUCGAGUCGCAGGUGGUGGAAAAGGCCGUGCUCGAGUUUGUUUUUAUGCUUUUGUUUCCCACAAUGCUUCAAGCUUGUUUAUUAACUCGAUUUUUUGUUAUUCUGUUUAACAGGAGACUGCAGCAGAAGCAGAGAAGACGGAUGCUACACCAAUCCAAGAGUAGAUAG
rnacentral:rRNA from 1 species